rnacentral:lncRNA from 1 species
GCCGCGGGCAGCCGCGCCGUGAGGCUGCUGCCCCGGUGGUCUCCUGCCAGCGCGGAGACGCUUCAUGUCUUACCUCAGAUGCGUUUCGGGAGGAGAAACAUGUCAAAUGCUGCCUUUAAACCAGAUCAGAUGGGAAAUGCAGGGUGUGCGUCGUCCACCGAGCAAGGACCUGCUUAUCACAAAAGGGAGCCACCAUGAAGGGAGAAAGAUGGCACAGUAUUCACAGAGGACAGCUUAUCCGAGUUACAGGCUGCACGGCACAGGAAUCUCUGUCUCCAUUCACUGCAGAGGGAGCCAAGGGAAAUUAGCUUUAGCAGGUUGCAGCUGCGUGUGUUCAGCUCUGCAUCCGUAACUCUGGCUGCGGCAGUCCUGCCGGGCUGUUUUGGUAUGGGUAAAAGCACAUCGCCG